AGUUUUAACUACAUUGUAACUAUGUGAAUCCCCAUUUCAUUAUACAUGUAGAUGAAUUCCGCCUUCAAAUAAUCUUGCAUUGUCAAAGUAUCUCAAAGUUUCGAAGCAGCUGACCAAAGCAACGCGGCUCCCAGCUCAGGCGGCCAGUAGACCCCAGCAGCUAGCAGUGUUCGUGUGUAGCUGUGUGUUUUUUCUCGAGCAUUUAUUAGUGAUCAAGGUGGAAGAGGACUGCCGUGGCGCUACUCAAGGCCCAGCAGAGCGGUGAGUGCGCGGCUCGGCGCGGAGGUCGAGGUGGCUUGAGUGCCGCUGGCGUGCCUGCGCGUUGUUAGGGAGGAGUGAAGCGGAUGAGUGUUUUGUGCUGGAAUGGAAUGGAAGAGGCUGUUGAUGGUGAUAACAGGAACUUGGUGUACACGAUGAUGUAAGGAGACUGAUCCACUACACCCUUGGUUUGCUGCAUCCCUAUAUUAAUAUGGUAAUUUUAACGUAAUUGUCUGUCUCUCCUUCUGUUUGUCUGUCUAUAUGA